GCUGAUGUUGGGUGCACGGGGCGCGCUGGCUGCAGCGGAGCAUGGCUAGGGCCUGGCCUUUCCCUGCUGCUCGCAGAGCAAACGGGGACAGUCGUAUAGGAGGUGGGGGCGCCUGCCUCUGCCCCAUCGCCCAAGGCCUUCUGCUGCCUCGGGCUAGUUGCUUUGCCUUUAGAGGGGUUGGACGGGGAGGGUGUGGCAGUCGUUGCUGGUUUUCCUCAGCCCAGGGCUCUGGAGAAGCGCUCUGAGCCACUAGAGAAGGAAACCAGAGGCAGAGACCCCUGCCAUAAAGAGCAAGAGGGGGAAGUGGAGGCGUGGUGUAGCAGAGGAUUCAAAACAUGCCAUGAGGCAGGAGCUGUUUGAAGCUUCCCUGGGUUAUUUCAAGACCACCUGGCACAUGUAGAUAAGCCCACUGGUGAAGGAGAAGCAAGCUCAGGGUCCAAUUAUUCCUGGAGAGGCACAGCCCUGUGAUGGAGACAGUGUGGAGCACUGGAUUGCACUCUGCUUAUUUCCUCAAAUUGGAGGACGAUGAGGCAGGGCCAUGACACCUCCACCAUCACCCCCUCAGCAUAGGAGAGCAUGCUGCACCCAGUAAAGGGAUGUAGCAGCAGGUACACAUUCCCUGUGUACUGGGGAGCUCCGGUAGGCCUUCUGUCUCCAGAGACUGCAGCUGUACCUAAACUUCAUGUACAGUGCAGGGGAUUGUUCCUUGCAUGUGUACCUCUCACAUACCUGCAUUAGGGAUCAGGCACAACCUAGCCGUGUGUGUGUAAAAUUGAAAUCCUGCUGGAUAUAGGAGGAAACUGCACGAUACACUCGUAUGCUCACUUCAGAAGUGUUGUUUUUCUUUAAAUAUGUUUAAUAAAAUAUU